rnacentral:rRNA from 1 species
GACGAACGCUGGCGGCGUGCUUAACACAUGCAAGUCGAACGGUAAGGCCCUUCGGGGUACACGAGUGGCGAACGGGUGAGUAACACGUGGGUGAUCUGCCCUGCACUUCGGGAUAAGCCUGGGAAACUGGGUCUAAUACCGGAUAGGACCCUGGGAUGCAUGUCCUGGGGUGGAAAGCUUUUGCGGUGUGGGAUGGGCCCGCGGCCUAUCAGCUUGUUGGUGGGGUGAUGGCCUACCAAGGCGACGACGGGUAGCCGGCCUGGGAGGGUGACCGGCCACACUGGGACUGAGAUACGGCCCAGACUCCUACGGGAGGCAGCAGUGGGGAAUAUUGCACAAUGGGCGCAAGCCUGAUGCAGCGACGCCGCGUGAGGGAUGACGGCCGUCGGGUUGUAAACCUCUUUCAGCACCGACGAAGCGCAAGUGACGGUAGGUGCAGAAGAAGGACCGGCCAACUACGUGCCAGCCGCCGCGGUAA